AGAACGAACGCUGGCGGCAUGCCUAAUACAUGCAAGUCGAACGAAGGCUUCGGCCUUAGUGGCGCACGGGUGCGUAACGCGUGGGAAUCUGCCCCUUGGUUCGGAAUAACAGUUGGAAACGACUGCUAAUACCGGAUGAUGACGAAAGUCCAAAGAUUUAUCGCCAAGGGAUGAGCCCGCGUAGGAUUAGCUAGUUGGUGAGGUAAAGGCUCACCAAGGCAACGAUCCUUAGCUGGUCUGAGAGGAUGAUCAGCCACACUGGGACUGAGACACGGCCCAGACUCCGUACGGGGGCAGCGAGUAGGGAAUA
rnacentral:rRNA from 1 species